GAUGAACGCUGGCGGCGUGCUUAACACAUGCAAGUCGAACGGAAAGGCCUCUGCUUGCAGGGGUACUCGAGUGGCGAACGGGUGAGUAACACGUGGGUGAUCUGCCCUGCACUUCGGGAUAAGCCUGGGAAACUGGGUCUAAUACCGGAUAGGACAAUGGUUUGGAUGCUGUUGUGGAAAGUUUUUCGGUGUGGGAUGAGCUCGCGGCCUAUCAGCUUGUUGGUGGGGUAAUGGCCUACCAAGGCGUCGACGGGUAGCCGGCCUGAGAGGGUGUACGGCCACAUUGGGGCUGAGAUACGGCCCAGACUCCUACGGGGGGCAGCAGUGGGGGAUAUUGCGCAAUGGGGGCAAGCCUGAUGCAGCGACGCCGCGUGGGGGAGGACGGCCUUCGGGUUGUAAACUCCUUUCGCUAGGGACGAAGCGUUUUUGUGACGGUACCUGGAGAAGAAGCACCGGCUAACUACGUG
rnacentral:rRNA from 1 species